CUUCAGAGCUGUUUAUACAAAGGCAGUCCCAUGUGGGCUCCUGCGGGUGUGGAGCCGCGGGCUCAGAAGGGCGAUGAGCCCCCAGGUCUGUGCACCGGUGCUGCGCAGCACCCUUCAGCGGGCACUCUGCUCACUGACAUCCAGCGUUGGUGCUGUUUGUUCUUUCUCUUACUGCUUUCCACGGCUGCCUCGGAUCUUUGUACCUGGGACAAAUGGGAUAUUUUUGAAACAAUCAGAAAUUCUUCAUGUUCUGUCUCCUGCUUUCUGUGCCGCUUUGGAGAUCGUGCUGCCACCAGGACCUCGAGAAGUUCACUUGGUAUUCACCACUGUUUUAUUCCCUUUCUCUUGCACUGCGGUUCUGACUGAUGUAGCCAAGACUAAGCUUCACCAUCUGAAUAAUCUGAAUAUCAGAAGGCAGCCUCAGAUGUCUGUGUGCGAUACACCACGAUUUACCCGGUGGAAGGGGUGCACCCGCCUAAAAGCAGACUGGAGCGGAGGCUGUCCUGACUGGAACAGAUGGUUUCUGCCUGCUAUUGCUCGGAUAUCUCACUGGUUCAGAGUCGUACGCCGCUCAGACUGGGAAAACACCACGAGCAACCAAUAG
rnacentral:lncRNA from 1 species